rnacentral:misc_RNA from 1 species
UUGUUUUCGUUACGACAAUUUACAUUCAUCACGCUAAAGUUCUUGGUGCUUUGCGCCGGGGGCCCGAGAGCCCCUAGACGUACAGUUCACGGUGUGUGUGGAAUAGACACGGCCAGAGGCCAAUCUCUAAUGAUCCUUCCGCAGGUUCACCUACGGAAA